UGAGAAUCUCUUAGAGACACCCUGCUCAUCAUCAUUAAUGUGCUCUGAUUUACAUUCAGGCUCUUCCUAUCCUGAAUAUGUUCCCAACAUCAAUCUGUCUGUACAGUCUUGAAAAAAGAAUUUAAGUUACCAAGUUAGUGCAUACAUUAGCUUUCUCUUACUGGAAACAGACACUUAAAAAGAGGAACUUUUGCUGCUUUGCUUCUGGUUCUGUGCCAAGGCAACAGGGCAUGAUGGGAACAGGUUAAAGAGCAAAUCUUCUCAACUCCUGGCUGCCAGGAAGCCAGUGAGAGGAAGAGGCCAGGGAAAAGGUCCUGCUGAGCCUUGAAGGGCACAGCCCCAAUGACCUCAUUCCCUCCUGGUAGGUCCCACCUCCCACAGGAUCCACCACUACAUACUAUGGCUAUGCCACAGAGAAACUCCUGUAUCAUGUGGGCUUUUGGUAUAUCAUCUAAGUUCUCCGAUUCCUAGCUGGGGUGAAUGGCACAUCUAUGUAAUAUCAUCCCUCAGGAGGGUGAGGAUGGACAGAUGUGAGAAGUUUGAGGACAGCCUGAGAUACAUAGUGAUUGUGGCCUCAAACUCUCAGCCAUCCUCCUGCCUCAGCUUCUUGAGUGCUACUAUUACAUCAUGGGCCAGGACACUAGGCCUCUUUUAACUUGUUUGAGGAAAGUCCUAGGGCCCUGGGAAGAGAGGCCAAAGAUCCCUGAAGGCAGAAUUCUGCAUGAUGAAGUCUAUGCCUUGUGCGGGUUGCUGGAAGACAUGUCCAGGGAUGAAAGUACCAAGUAACCUUCACACAGAGCCUAAAGAACAGACAGCCUUAACAUCAACAGAUACCAGAAAUGGAUUAAAGCAAAAUUUAGAAUCCCAGUGUGGAAUUCACCCGAAUGUCCCAUUAUGAAUAAAUGGCUAUGACAAUAUCUGUCAUCUAUCUACACAGUAGACAGUUAUACCUUCCUCAGAAAGGACGGCACUCUGACAUCCUGCACUCUCAAGGGACCCUGAGGACAUUGUGCUAAGAGGAAGAAGGCAGACACCAAAGACACACGUGGUCUGAGUCCACAGGACUGCUAGGCAUACAAGGAUCCCAGCGCUGUCCAUUCAUAGGGACAAUGGGAGAACACUGCUUCCCAGAGGCUGUGAGAAGAGACUGGGCAUCCAUGGUUUCAUGGGGUAGAGUUUCUCUUCAGGUGGAGGAAACAAUUCCAUAGAUGCAUAGAGGGCUGGCUGUACAACAGAAGCAAUAGACAUUCACGUGCUACAUAUUAUAUUUUGGCCAGUGAUGGACCACAGAGACAUAGUGCUUAUAUGAGAUGGUUUCACCUCCUGCCCUGCUAGUUCUUAGAGCUGGGUGAGUUCAUUCUACCAGGUUGGCACAAUGACAGUUUCAAUGGAUUGCCCCUUUCCCAGAACACAUUCCCAUCAUUAUUUCCAUACCGGGGAAGGGAAUAGGAAAAGACAGGAUGUGGGACAAGGAGAGCCCCAUCAGUCAAAAAUCUGUGGGGCUGGUAGGAAGGAGGGGUUAGAACAUGUGUUCCCAGGAUGCACAGGGGAAGCAGAGACUCAAGUAGAGCUUCCUUUCACACACCUGUGACAAUGUGUCUACAACAGGUGGAGUUUGGAAGGAAGGGAACAAUGGACCCUGCAAGGAGAACUGAAAGCAGAUGGAGAACAGCAAAGGUCUGUUGAUGGCAUCCAACUUCUGUCCUUAGGCCUCUGGCCGGAAAAGGAAGAGAGGCUGUGGGAGUCAGAAGAUGAGUGGCAGAUGGACCUGCUGGGUCUUUUUGAUCCAGUCCCUCGAUUAGCACUCUACUUCCUGCCUCUGGCCAGAAGAAGCAGAAAGACUGGUCCAUAGAAGUGGAGAACUAUGAGGAGGAGGACAUGUCUGGGUUUUUUUACUUAGCCUAUACGGUAAACCCCCAGCUCUCACCUCAGUCCCCUGGCCAAAAAAAGAAAGUGGGAAUGAUUAUUUGGGUCUAGGAAGAAAUCACAGGAGGCACUGGGCAACCUGGUCUGGGCCCUCAGUGCAUAGGGCUCAUGGAGUUCCCAUAUGGACUCCAAAUGACCCUGAGAGGAAGCAUCUAUGGUCAGUGCUGCUUGAGCACCACCAGGAACCAGGCUGUUAGGUAAGCAGACCUCAGACUGCACCUCCAACAAGGUUCUUUAAGAACAGAAGAAAAGUGCAAUUACUUCCUUUUCCCAUCAAAGGGAGGUCACUGUGAGGCAGGAGCUCUCCUUCCCAGAGGACUCUGGCCCCAUCCAUCCUCAGGGACAUGGAAAUGACACAACUUACACAUGUGUUAAAAUGUUCCCCCAUUGUGAUCAGAAAGCCUGGUUACAGCACCUUCCUGUUCAACAGAACUCUUGCUGACUCUUCUCAGUGCAAAUGGUUUCAGCCCUAAAUGUGUGACCGGGACACCUUCACUCCCAAAUGUGUAUCUCAGAGGAGAAAAGAACCCUCAUGCUUUCUGAGUUUGAAAGUGAUAUAUUCAUAUGUCAUGAGGCCACCAUGGUAUGUUCAAAGCUCCUAAUAAUGCAGGUAUUUGCUGCUACCCAGCCUCUAACUCAGUAGUUCCUCCAGGAUUCUGAGGGUUGAGCCCAUGUCCCCUGUCAAGUGAAUGUCCUCCUCCACCCUCUGCUCAUUUGUCUGCCCUCGGCCUCAUGCUGAACCUUUUGCCAGGCAGGCCCAGUUAUACUCCUCGUCUGCUUGCCCCAUGAGAAACCCUGUGCCAGUCCCCAAGGUGAUGCUCUGUUCUCUUCACACAGCAGACUGUGUUCAAGAGAUGCCUGGCCUGGUGCAAGAACCUCAGGUAACUAACAGAUUGAGCUCCUUUUCCCUUGAGCCAGGCUCUCACUAUGGCACGGCUUAGGGAGGAGAGAGGUCCUACCCCACAGUCCUUCUUCCAUGGCUGUCUUUGUGGGAAGCUCCCACAUGACAUUCCCCCAACUAUUCCCCCUUAGUUCUGGGGACCAUCUGCCUUCAGCUCCUGGGUUUUUUCUGGCAGGCUGGAUGUGUGCACCUUCCUCAGCCCGGGGCCUCUGGUAUCUGAAUGCAGGCCACCGUCUUCCCCAGACAUAGCUUCUCUGGGUGUUGGCAUCUUUAGUCCCUGACCCCUCUCCUAAUUCUCAAGAGCCCCUUUGCUAUAGCUUAGAAGACCCCCUUCUGAUCCUUGGAAGGGCCAUCCUAGGCAUCACAGCCUCCCUUUUCCUGACUGCUCUCAUCUGCAGACAACCUCCAGCCCCUUGACUUUCCAUGAAUAGCCAGGUGAUCCAACCCUGGGGUUCCACUCUGAGUGGAGCCCUGCCCCACCCCAGUCCCUGUCUGCACAUCCCUCUUCCAGGUGUGGCCACUCUCUGUGGUCCUCUCUCCCCAUCACUGCCUCAUCAGUGCUAAUUCAAAUAGUCAUCACUGACUAUUUCAACUGGGCAGGCCUCUUCCUCUGGCAGUACCAGAGGUUCCAAUGCUUCCUGGCUCCUUGAGUACUCUGCCUCCUCCCCACAGUCCACAGGAGAGUGGGGAGAAUGAGACUCAGUGUAUCUUCUUGGGGAGAGGGAGUCAGCAAAACCCCUUGCUUCCCUGAUUUUUUUUGUACUGGGGAUCAUAAUCAGGAGCUUCUGUUUGCAAGGCAGGUAGAGUGGCACUGAGCUAAAUCCUCAGCCCUCUAAUGUGUCUUCUGGUUUGAAACCUCUUUAUACAGUUGAGUCUGUAUAGAAAAAGAUAGCCUGGAAGGACUGUGCCUAAUACUUUUCUUAGAAAAACUAGCAAGGUUUGUCAAUGUUGAAAAUCAUCUUACCUGUGUAAAAAGUACAAAGGGAGCAAAUUUCCAGGGAAAUAUAAAAGCAACAUCAGCAAGCCACAGGGCAGUGUAACGUUUUUCAUAAUUGUUGGAGAUCCUUAGGAGAGAUAAAUGGGGUCAGUGAGUUUUGCUAUGAAGACACACACUAGCUAAAAAACAAAAAAGACUGCCUGCAAAAUGGCAAAACCUUAAAGAUCCCCUUACCUUUGAUAUAAGACAACAAAAUACAAUUCAUUUUGAAAUCAAUUUAACCAAAAAAAUUCUAAAUGCUCCAGCCAUAGAAUUUCCUAGCUAAAAGCAAUCAAAGUUACCAUUUUAGAAAUAAUGAUAUAUAAUUGAUUAUUAAAUAAAAUAUUUUAAAUAUAAAAGCCUAUAUCUCUGUAAAUAAGAUUGGCAUUCAAAAUUAAAUACUCCAGCAGAAGGCCAGAAAAUAGAACAGGACAACUGCCCUUUAUGCCUCCAGGUGUUUAUUCCCUAUACCUAGCUACAGGUUAUAAAUAUCACUGCUUUUAUGUUUCAGAAAAUAGUGAGGGACAGAAUAAGUGUUGGUGAAGAAAUAAGGUAACAAUUAUGGAAAAAUUUUAGGAAAAACUUUUAAAACAACAAAUUAAGAACUAAUUCUGGAAUGCAGAUGAAUUAUUACAGAUGAAGAUUAAAUUUCCCACUCUGCAAUAUGAAACUAUAUUGGUAACCAACAACUUUUACCUCUGAAGACCAUAUGAUCUUUUAGAAUAUCAAAAAAGAAAUGCAAAUAUUUUUGUAAAAAUAAAAUGGCAACUAUCCUUUUUAUAAAAGUUGUAGUGGGUUUUUGAUAAUUCCAUAUUCAAUUGUAGGUAAUUUUUCAAAAGCAAAAACGUUCAUAUUGUUUUGUAAUAUUAUCACAAAGUAUUCAUUAGGCACUUGGCAAUCUUACAUUUGAUCAAACAAAAAUUACUUUUGAUUAGGUAAAAAGUAUAGCAUAUGCAUUCAAGGAUACAAUGCUAACUAUUCUAAGUACCACACUGCAUUCUAUGAAACCCUUGUCUGUCUAGACUGACAUCACCCAAUUAAUCAGUCAAAAAAUACUAUUUUCCUAGUAAUUUAACUGAAAAUGAAGGUUGAUAGGUAGGAAUGGGGAACUUCUUUUACCAUACUCUUUCAGAGGAGGAAAUAUAUUGAACAAACAUGGAAAUCUGGACAGGGAGGAGACAGCCAAACACAAAUGCAGCCCCCAAAUAAACUUGCCAGGCAGAUAACACAUCAGGACUUAGGCUGCUCCUCUCUCAGGCUUUAGCCUCCCUAGGAUGCAGAAUUGACCUCCCUUCAAUCAGAUACCACAGGAGCACCUCAAAUACUCACGUGGGAGGGCGCUAAGUGGUUAGAGAUAAGUAGGGCUUGAUCUCUUUUUCCAGUGGGGGUAUACUUUUAAAUGUAUGCAAGAGUAGAUGUAGACAUUUGUGUACCUCAAAUUUAUAGUUGAAAGAAAGAAAAAGGGAAGGAAGGAAGAAAGGAAUAAAUGAAAGAAGGCACACACACAACUGAUUUUCACAGAAGGUGAAUCUGCCAAGGAUAAGUAAGUGUAGUGUAGUGGGUUCCCUGAGAGUUUACAGAAGACACUGAUCAUUACUUCAUUCAGUGAGAAAUCUCACUGAUAAUCUCAGACUUCUUAAAUUUCUGAAAUUCUUAUAAACUUAACCUAAAAAAUUUGUCCAGCAAAAACAGUGGAGAUAUAACUGGCUAAACUGAGAAGUAUCAUUUAGAAAUCAGUUUAGACACACACACACACACACACACACACACUUUAUGUAACUCACAAUUUAUGUAACUCAGUAUUUUCCAAAUGCUAUGCACUUUUCAUGACACAUAUAUGAAUGGUCCAUCAAAACCACAGUUUGGAAAACAGUCAUAGUACAUCAACUCUUAACCAAAAAAUAAUUAUUUUUCAAAAACUGUUGAAUCCUUGCAAACCAUAGAUGAACACAUAUAUAUUGAUUUGUUAAAGUAUAGUCAUCUAAAGCCUGUAGCCUAAACUGUUAAAUGGAGAUCAAUUUUUACACAGUAAUUUUCAGACUACCUUAACUCUAUGCUCAGUUUAUUGUUAAAAUAACUAAAAACACAGCCUUGGCAACCACAACAAGUUGAAGCAAAUUUUAAGAAACUUAACUUGUAAUCUACAUAGCUGUGUUUUAGAUGUAAAAAUUACCUGAGAAUCAUGGUUAAAAUAUACAUCUAAAGCACCAGGAACGGUUAUGCAAAUCUUUCGUGGGGAGGUGGCAUCCACAUCACAUGGGUGGCUUGAGGUGAGUGAAAGUCUGGGUUCACAUCCAGUCCACAGUGGCAAACAUCAUUCGCCUAACAGAGGGAUUGGCUUCUUCUGGGAACUUUCACUCCAGCCCCACCGGAUCCUACUUCUCAAAGCCAGGCAAUGCUCCAUUCUGGAUCUCCUCACAUCGGGCCACUGAGUA
rnacentral:lncRNA from 1 species